rnacentral:rRNA from 2 species
GAGGAGCGAAAGCGUGGGGAGCGAACAGGAUUAGAUACCCUGGUAGUCCCCCCCGUAAACGGUGGGCACUAGGUGUGGGCAACAUUCCACGUUGUCCGUGCCGCAGCUAACGCAUUAAGUGCCCCCCCUGGGGAGUACGGCCGCAAGGCUAAAACUCAAAGGAAUUGACGGGGGCCCGCACAAGCGGCGGAGCACUGUGGCUUAAUUCGACGCAACGCGAAGAACCUUACCAAGGCUUGACAUACACCUGGAAACGUCCAGAGAUGGGCGCCCCCUUGUGGUCGGUGUACAGGUGGUGCAUGGCUGUCGAUCAGCUCGUGUCGUGAGAUGUUGGGUUAAGUCCCGGCAACGAGCGCAACCCUUGUCCCGUGUUGCCAGCAGGCCCUUGUGGUGCUGGGGACUCACGGGCCAGACCGCCGGGGUCAACUCGGAGGAAGGUGGGGACGACGUCAAGUCAUCAUGCCCCUUAUGUCUUGGGCUGCACACGUGCUACAAUGGCCGGUACAAUGAGCUGCGAUACCGCGAGGUGGAGCGAAUCUCAAAAAGCCGGU